rnacentral:misc_RNA from 1 species
GAAAUGCGAUAAGUAAUGUGAAUUGCAGAAUUCAGUGAAUCAUCGAAUCUUUGAACGCACCUUGCGCCCUUUGGCUAUUCCGAAGGGCAUGCCUGUUUGAGUAUCAUGAACACCUCAACUCUCGUGGUCCGCCAUGAUGAGCUUGGACUUUGGGGGUCUUGCUGGCCUAGUGUCGGCUCCUCUCAAAUGGAUCAGCUUGCCAGUGUUUGGUGGCGUCGCAGGUGUGAUAACUAUCUACGCUUGUGGUUCUCUGCCAUGUAACCUUCAGUGAUGGAGGUUCGCUGGAGCUCACAGAUGUCUCUCCUGGGAGGACAGCUCUUUGAACGUUUGAUCUCAAAUCAGGUAGGACUACCCGCUGAACUUAA